UCGUAGUUUGAUACUAAUAGGCCUCCGGGCACGCACCUCAGCAAGCUGUGCUGACGUGCUCCCUUGGAUAAACCCUUGGGAGCUGGCUGGCGAAUUGCAAUGUCACCUCGCGCGGGGAAGAUCCUCUGCAGACGACUGCAAGAUGACCAAGCGGGUCGUGUAAGCGGUCGAGUGGCCUUGUUUGCUACGAGUCGCUGAGCGUCACCCGACCUUGGCUAGAUUU
rnacentral:rRNA from 1 species